AUUGAACGCUGGCGGCAGGCCUAACACAUGCAAGUCGAGCGGAGCGGCGGACGGGGGAGUAAUGCCUAGGAAGCUGCCUGGGAGUGGGGGAUAACGUACGGAAACGGGCGAUAAUACCGCAUACUAUCAGAUGAGCCUAGGUCGGAUUCGAUAGUUGGUGGGGUAAAGGCCUACCAAGGCGACGAUCCGUAACUGGUCUGAGAGGAUGAUCAGUCACACGGUAACUGAGACACGGUCCAGACUCCUACGGGAGGCAGCAGUGGGGAAGAUUGGACAAUGGGCGAAAGCCUGAUCCAGCCAUGCCGCGUGUGUGAAGAAGGUCUUCGGAUUGUAAAGCACUUUAAGUUGGGAGGCGUUACCCACAGAAUAAGCACCGGCUAACUUCGUGCCAGCAGCCGCGGUAAUUC
rnacentral:rRNA from 1 species